GUUGGAGUCACAGGGGCCAAUAACUCAUCACCCCAGCACUUCGGAGGUGGCUCCCCGUGCCACGGACUCCGAGGAGUCCUUCAUCUACUGAACACUCAAAGCUGAGGAGACGCCGCCAGGAGAGCAAGUCCGCGUUUCCCAGCAAGGGAAGUGCAGCGUCCGUUACACUUGGGAAGUCUUACAGCUUUUCCUGCGCCCGGUGACCCUGCUCAGGACCCUCUUAGAGAAGACUAGGUGUGCUCAGCGCGAGGAGGAUAUACUCCAUUGCCCUUUCCUGGGAAGAACGAGGAGCGCCCGAGCGGCGCGGGGUGGUGGAGGCAAACCCCGGCCCACAGCGGCGCGCUCUGCGCCUGCGCGGCGUUUCCUUGGCGACCGAGCAGUGGGUCCGAGACGCCACCCCGCGCGCCCCUAAGCCCAGUUCCCUGUUGAGCAUCUGCGACGUCCUCUCCCCUCGUUCCCGAGGCGUUUUCUAUUUGUUUCCGUCUGCGAAUCAAUUUGUGAUCACAUUAUGACGUUGAGAGUUCAGCAUUAAAUAAAAAAAAAAAAAAAAAAAAAAAAAAAAAAAACCAACUUUUCCCUUCCCUUGUUACCGUUUUGAUCACGGACAGAAGAAAAUGGUGAGAGAUUAGUUAUUAGGGCAGCAAUUGAAAUCCCCCUCUAUCCCGAAAAGUGGAGACGAAUAAAACAUUUACUUCCUGGUAAGGAGUUAAAAAAUUCAGUGAAGUGAUUGUUCUCAAGCGUUACAAGGACAAAUCUGUGCCUCCUAACCCAAGUGAAGAGCAGGGCUUGUACAACCCAGCAGCACCCAUGCCCUGUUUAUUGGCAUGUUUAUGACAAGGAGAUACGCUGCGAAAGGGACCAGAGUAUAAUGCCAAUGAAAAGAAACAAAGGCUUUCCC
rnacentral:lncRNA from 1 species